rnacentral:ribozyme from 1 species
UUUUUUUUUUUUUUUUUUUUUUUUUCGUUCUUUAAUCCUAAUGAGUUCAUUAAAUUAAUAUACCACGUAAUAAUAUUGAUGCAGGUCCAUUCCCCCCUUAAAGAUAA